GGGAGCCUUUCGUUUCUCUGCAAGUUUGGAUCUGGGAGCUCUUGCUGUGCAAAUUUUGCCCAGAGAAUCUGUAGUAUUCAUUCUCCUGCUGGUCUCAGGGCAAGUCCAGUUUUUGAGCGAGACCUUCUGGAGCUACUGCAAAUGGCCUUUCUGAUCCCACAGUGGGGAGAAACUGAGGUAACUGAAGUCUUGAGGAGGGUUCUUUCACUAGUGUGAGCAUAGCUGACUUUGGAAUUCUUUUGUUGUGAUCUGUGGAUCAAUUCUGUUCCCGAGCUCUCCUGGAUUUUGUUAUAACAACAGAGUCCACUUAGAUUUUAACCAUUUGAUCAGCAGAGCCUUGUUUUUGGCCUGUUGUGCUGCAUGAUUUAGAGUGUGCAUCUGGAUUUGUAAUUAUGCCUCACAUAGUUUAUAUUUUGAUUAGCUUUUCCUUUCUCCUCUUUACUUGCCUCUAGGACCAUAUGGGUGGAAGUUUGCAUGUUGUUGUAAAAGCAUUUUGAAAUGUUCACCAGACUUUCGUGGUUUCCUUACUUCCCUUUUAGGUUUUGCAUUUUAAAUUAGGUUAUAGAAUUGUGAAUUUACCAAACUAUAUUGUGGAUUUUAUCCAAACAGUUUCUGUGGGUAUGAAAUACUGGUCAUGUGUAUGUAUCAAUAUUUUAUAUGGAAUCAUUAUACUUCUUGGGGUUAGGCUGACAAAAAACAAUUUGUUAGCUUCAUUCAUGAGAGGUAUUCAGAUUUGAAAUUUUUGACUUUGGAAUUAAUCAGUUUUCCUCAACUUAUAUUUUAAUGUUCUGUGAUAUAUGUGAUCUACAGAUGACUUUGGGGGUAGGAGUGGGGCUAAGAAAAAAAGAAAUAGAUGAUAAAAAAUAUGACUUUGAAUAAUUUUAAAUAAUUUUAAAUAUUUUUUUCUUGAUUAAUUUUGGACAUAUGAAUUAGAAUUCAUUUGGAAUACAUAUUGAAUAUAAUCAUAGUUAUAUAACAAAUUCUCUAAUGGUGGAAAGUAAGUUUUAGAUUUUUUUUGGUAACUCUUUUCACAAAUGUUAGAUUAUUUUUCCCCUCUGGUUUUGAAAUGAAUAGUUUUGGGUCUUUGAGAAUGGUCAUACCAUAAAAUUGUGUCUGUGUUCCACAAAAGUUAGUAAUUGGAAAAGGAAUGAACAUUUAGUUAAAAUAUCACUAGCUUAAACUAUCAAUGGGAGUCUGUAACUCUAAGUUUACUUAGUUUUCCUUAGAAAAUUUUAUGAAAUACUCCCUUGAAAUCAAAUCAUAUUAUAGCAAGUUGCUUCAAGUUAGUAUAUGUGAACUGCUAGGCUAAGACAUAGUCAUGACUGAUUGUUGAGUCUAGUUUUCAUUUUUACUGAGGUAUGGAUAAGACUUAGACAUGCCCUCUUCUUUGACAAGUUUUUCCUUGUUGCAACAGAUCCUAUAACUUGCCUGUUGGUUGCUGAUGCAGCUUUUCAGAAAUAGGCUGUGCAGUGUGGCCCCAGGCAAAGCUUUGUCUUUCUCCCCAGAACCUAGCAAAAUGACUGCCAGAAUGAUCACUAUAAAGCAUUUUACCAGGUUAUUUUGAAGGGAUGCAGGAGCAGAAAAGAGUGUAUUUCAGGAAGUUCAGCAGGGCAGAAAAGGCCUGUGGAAAACAAAGAAGUGUAAGGAUUUCUUUUAUUUUAGGGUAUGUGUAGGGUAAGGAAAUGAAUUUAGCUACAUUGUGCUGAGAUUUUAUUGAUUUAAAUACAGUAGUCUUAAAAUCAUCUUGGGAGUUGGUGUGUUAACUCAAUCCAUUGAUCCAAACAGAAUGCAGGCAAGGCAGGCUGAACUUCUGUUUCUCCCGGCAGUGCUUUUUCUGCUACUUAAUUUGAUAUUCUCCAUACUGAGAGAAUGAUGUUUUUAUUCUUUGAAGGAAAAUCCUCCUCUUUUGAGUUUAGCAAUUCUAUUAACUAGAGCAGAUUGUUGUUAUUUAUUUUUAUUUUUUUAUUUUUAUUUUUUGAGGCGGAGUCUCGCUCUGUCGCCUAGGCUGGAGUGCAGUGGCGGGAUCUCAGCUCACUGCAAGCUCCACCUCCCAGGAGAAUUGCUUGAACCCAUGAGGUGGAGGUUGCAGUGAGCCGAUACCGAGCCAUUGCACUCCAGCCUGGCGCAGUGAGACUUCUGCCUCAAAAAAUAGUAAUAAUGUGUAGAUGAUAUUUUAGUAACUGAUGAUAGAGUUAGUGAAGAUGAAAGCAUAGACCUUUGAAAUUCUGUCUGCAUCAUGAUUCUAAUCUUAUAAAGUAAGGUCUGGAGUUUUUAAAGUUUUAGUGAAAAAAGACUGGGUACUUCAGGCCUGGAUGUAAAGCUAGGUGCCAUAACUUACUAGCACAAUGGCUUUGGGGCAAGCUAUCUAACUUUUCUCAGCCUCUGUUUUCUAAAUGCAAUCCUUUGGGGUGUUUUUUUUGAAGGAAAACAAUAUAUGUGAAAGACUUUGGCACAGGGCCUGGCAGAUAUGAGCCUUGUCAACAACAACUUUAUAAAUUUUGUGGUUUGUUCAACCUUAUCCAACUAAAAAACUUGUUAAGCCAUUGUGCUGUUAAGAACAGACACUAAGACAUUAAUGUGGAAAAAGACUAUAGUACCAUGCACGUUUUUAUUCAAGCACUGCUUUGAUUCAAAAUGAUUAUCUACUCUUCCUCCAUCUUCUCUUCCUUAUAGUUUACUGGGAAAAAAAUCAGAUAAUUUAGCUAAAAAUAAGCAAGCAAAAAGCAACAUGUAAAAAUGGGUACAUCUUCCUUAUCUAGAAAUAAAUGCUGCCGGGCAUGGUGGCUCACGCCUGUAAUCCCAGCACUUCAGGAGGCUGAGGCAGGCAGAUCACGAGGUCAGGAGAUGGAGACCAUCUUGGCCAACAUGGUGAAACCCCAUCUCUACUAAAAAUACAAAAAUUAGCUAGAUGUGGUGGCACGUGCCUGUAAUCCCAGCUACUCAGGAGGCUGAGGCAGGAGAAUCGCUUGAACCCGGGAGGUGGAGAUUGCAGUGAGCCGAGAUUGCGCCACUGCACUCUAGUCUGGCGACAGAGGAGACUCGCCUCAAAAAAAAAAAAAAAAAA
rnacentral:lncRNA from 1 species